AUGAUGAACCGAACCUUCGGGAUCAUUGAACUGAAGCUCCCGGGAUUUGUGGCUCAUGACUGGGAAGUGUGGUUCACCGAGAAGCUCAUCCCUGUCCUCCCCAGUUUCACCGCAGGAAUGCUGCUUAAGGUCACAGCUGACAUCAACUGCACCAACUACCAUGUGAUCGUUGAGGGAAUGGGAGAUGUUUUCGACAAAAUGACAUUCACCAGGAGGCAGGAGAUGACCAGGGUUCUGGUGGAGCACCUGAAGCAAUUUGCCGUCCCAUACAACAGUCCAGAUUGCAGAAAGGACAUCGGAAACGAUGCUGAGUGGCUUGACAUCAACUUGGGUCUAUUCUCCACGGUGGCCAAUUACUCAGACCUCAAGGAGCUGAACAUCAGUGGGGUAAAUCACCUAUUUUUAUUAUGUUUCUCUUCUCACACAGCUUUAAGGGAGUUCUUGGCUGGUAGUGAUUUUUGGUUGUUUAUUUGUUUUCUUUUUGUUUUCUUUUUUUUUCUUCAUGUCUUUGGGAAGAGAGCAAAUCACCAACCGUCAUGCGUUAUUUACUUUGUGUCUGGGUUUUGUUCACCUUAGCUGGCAGCUUUGGAAUCCCUGUCACCUGACCAGAAAGCAGAGCUGCUGUUGGAUCCGUCCACCGGUGCUCUUGAAAAUGUGACCGUGGUGAAGGAGGUGUUGAGCAGCAUCCUAAAAGCCCCAGAUGAGGAGCAGCUAGAGAAAUUCUUUGAAACGUUUGUGGAGGUCAGCAAGGAGGUGAGUCUUUUUACAAUUUAUUCUUGUUUUUUUUUGUUUUUUUCUCAGUGCAAUUUAUCUAUAAUUGCUUAGACCAAGAAUGUGCUGCUUGUGGGCAAGGAGGCCGUGCUAGAAGGUCCUGUCGUGGUGCUAAAUGUAUCUCUUCCCCCACCCUCCCCUCUCAGGAAAAACAUCACCUACAUCACAAACGCGGAAGUCCGGGGACGCAAUACUGAACCUGACUUUGACGGCUCUGGCUCCCAAAUUCCCUCUCUUCCAAACCAGUGACUAUGAGCUGUGGUUCCAAAUUAAUCUCGUGGUCCUGCUGGCCAGCUUCAGUCCUUCAGUUUUGGUGGUGAUCCCCGCCAACCUCACCUGCGACUCUUACGACGCAAUGUAAACAAUCUGGCUCCCUUGGUUUCUUGUCUUAAUUCAGUGAAUAGAAGUAAAUGUUGAGAUUUUCCAUUUUUUUGCACGUUUCCACAGAUUGAAAGGCAUGGAGAGCGCUUUGGCGGUUCUCCCAACUGGAGUUGGAGUGGAGCUGAAGUCAAGCAUAGACAAACUUCGACAGUCACCACCAGAAGGUAUGGCCUGAGCAGCUCCCUUCAAAUACGUAAAGAUCGCAGUGUUGUUCUUUGGUAAACCAAAAGAGUCCUUACCAAAUGCAGGUGAAUGUAAGCAAUUUGCAAGUGGCCUCCCAUUGACAGAAAUCUUGUUUGUCUUGGUUUUUCCCUCAGGCUGCACGCCCCCUCGCCCUGUGGGUUUUCGUAAGUACUUCAUUGUCGUACAUGGGUUAUGGGUAAAGUUCAAGCCCAUUAGAAGCUGUACAUAAUG
ensembl:lncRNA